rnacentral:tRNA from 1 species
GCCACGUGAUUGUUGGGGUGGCGUUCUCGUUUACACCGAGAGGGUCGGGGGUUCGAGUCCCUCCGGGUGCA